UAACUGAUUAGAAGGUUGGAACUUUCAGUCCCACUACCAACCUCCAGGGAAGGGACGGAACUGAAGACUGAGUUCAAUCACCAACGGCCGAUGAUUUAAUCAACCAUGCUUACGUAGUGAAGCCUCCAUAAAAAUCAACAAGGGACAGGUUCAGGGAGCUUCCAGGUUGGUGAACAUGUGGAGAUCUGAGGAGCCUGGUACAGCCGAGGACAGAUGGGGUCACCCUGUCCUUUUUCCACACUCUGUGCUGGGCGUCUGGCACCUGGCUGUUCCUGAGUUACGUCCGUUUAUAAUAAACUUGUGAUCUACCUCAGGAUCCAGCCUUUUUCUUCUGAGAACAUAAAGUGCCAUAAACUAAAGUGCCCUACGUGCUGGGUAGCCAUCCACAGCGAUGCACCGCCACCCCACUAUGACUUGUAUUUGCCAUGAUUGAUCUCAAGUGAAUGAAUCAAUACUUUCUAGAAACAAAUCUCCAAAUUAGUUUGGCAAUAAAUUAUUAUGAAAUUAAAUGGGAAUCUAUGGCCCAAAUAUC